rnacentral:rRNA from 1 species
AGAGUUUGAUCAUGGCUCAGGAUGAACGCUGGCGGCGUGCUUAACACAUGCAAGUCGAACGAUGACUUCUGUGCUUGCACAGAAUGAUUAGUGGCGAACGGGUGAGUAACACGUGAGUAACCUGCCCUUAACUUCGGGAUAAGCCUGGGAAACUGGGUCUAAUACCGGAUACGACCAUCUGGCGCAUGCCAUGGUGGUGGAAAGCUUGAUGCGGUUUUGGAUGGACUCGCGGCCUAUCAGCUUGUUGGUUGGGGUAAUGGCCCACCAAGGCGACGACGGGUAGCCGGCCUGAGAGGGUGACCGGCCACACUGGGACUGAGACACGGCCCAGACUCCUACGGGAGGCAGCAGUGGGGAGUAUUGCACAAUGGGCGAAAGCCUGAUGCAGCGACGCCGCGUGAGGGAUGACGGCCUUCGGGUUGUAAACCUCUUUCAGCAGGGAAGAAGCGAAAGUGACGGUACCUGCAGAAGAAGCGCCGGCUAACUACGUGCCAGCAGCCGCGGUAAUACGUAGGGCGCAAGCGUUAUCCGGAAUUAUUGGGCGUAAAGAGCUCGUAGGCGGUUUGUCGCGUCUGCUGUGAAAGCCCGGGGCUCAACCCCGGGUCUGCAGUGGGUACGGGCAGACUAGAGUGCAGUAGGGGAGACUGGAAUUCCUGGUGUAGCGGUGAAAUGCGCAGAUAUCAGGAGGAACACCGAUGGCGAAGGCAGGUCUCUGGGCUGUAACUGACGCUGAGGAGCGAAAGCAUGGGGAGCGAACAGGAUUAGAUACCCUGGUAGUCC